rnacentral:rRNA from 1 species
CAACGCCGCGUGAGUGAUGAAGGUUUUCGGAUCGUAAAGCUCUGUUGUUAGGGAAGAACAAGUGCCGUUCAAAUAGGGCGGCACCUUGACGGUACCUAACCAGAAAGCCACGGCUAACUACGUGCCAGCAGCCGCGGUAAUACGUAGGUGGCAAGCGUUGUCCGGAAUUAUUGGGCGUAAAGGGCUCGCAGGCGGUUUCUUAAGUCUGAUGUGAAAGCCCCCGGCUCAACCGGGGAGGGUCAUUGGAAACUGGGGAACUUGAGUGCAGAAGAGGAGAGUGGAAUUCCACGUGUAGCGGUGAAAUGCGUAGAGAUGUGGAGGAACACCAGUGGCGAAGGCGACUCUCUGGUCUGUAACUGACGCUGAGGAGCGAAAGCGUGGGGAGCGAACAGGAUUAGAUACCCUGGUAGUCCACGCCGUAAACGAUGAGUGCUAAGUGUUAGGAGGUUUCCGCCCCUAUAA